rnacentral:rRNA from 1 species
AACGAACGCUGGCGGUAUGCUUAACACAUGCAAGUCGAACGAGGUAGCAAUACCUAGUGGCAAACGGGUGAGUAAUACAGAGGAAUCUACCUAGCAGUAAGGAAUAACCCUGAGAAAUCAGGGCUAAUACCAUAUAUUACCCUUCGGGGGAAAGAUUUAUCGCUGUUAGAUGAGCCUCUGCCGGAUUAGCUAGUUGGUAGGGUAAUGGCCUACCAAGGCAAUGGUCCGUAGCUGGUCUGAGAGGAUGAUCAGCCACACUGGAACUGAGACACGGUCCAGACUCCUACGGGAGGCAGCAGUGGGGAAUAUUGGACAAUGGGCGCAAGCCUGAUCCAGCAAUACCGCGUGAGUGAUGAAGGUCUUCGGAUUGUAAAGCUCUUUUAGUAGAGAAGAUAAUGACGGUAUCUACAGAAAAAGCACCGGCAAACUUCGUGCCAGCAGCCGCAGUAA